AGCGAACGCUGGCGGCAGGCUUAACACAUGCAAGUCGAGCGCCCCGCCAGGGGAGCGGCCGACGGGAGAGUACCACGUGGGAACAUACCUUUUGGUUCGUAACAACUGAGGGAAACUUCAGCGAAUACCGGAUAAGCCCUUACGGGGAAAGAUUUAUCGCCGAAAGAUUGGACCGCGUCGGAUUAGCCAGUUGGUGAGGUAACGGCUCACCAAGGCGACUAUCAGUAGCUGGUCAGAGAGGAUGACCAGCCUCACUGGGACUGGGACACGGCCGGGAAUACUACAGGAGGCAGCAGUGGGGAAUAUAGCACAACGGGGGCAAUGCUGAACCAGCCAUGCCGCGUGAGUGAUGAAGGCCGUAGGGUUGUAAAGCACUUUUGCCCGGGAAUAUAAUGACGGUACCGGGAGAAUAAGCCCCGGCUAACUUCGUG
rnacentral:rRNA from 1 species